AGUGAACGCUGGCGGUAGGCCUAACACAUGCAAGUCGAACGGCAGCACAGUAAGAGCUUGCUCUUACGGGUGGCGAGUGGCGGACGGGUGAGGAAUAUAUCGGAAUCUACUUUUUCGUGGGGGAUAACGUAGGGAAACUUACGCUAAUACCGCAUACGACCUACGGGUGAAAGCAGGGGAUCUUCGGACCUUGCGCGAUUGAAUGAGCCGAUGUCGGAUUAGCUAGUUGGCGGGGUAAAGGCCCACCAAGGCGACGAUCCGUAGCUGGUCUGAGAGGAUGAUCAGCCACACUGGAACUGGAGCACGGUCCAGACUCCUACGGGAGGCAGCAGUGGGGAAUAUUUGACAAUGGGCGCAAGCCUGAUCCAGCCAUACCGCGUGGGUGAAGAAGGCCUUCGGGUUGUAAAGCCCUUUUGUUGGGAAAGAAAAGCAGCAGGUUAAUACCCCGCUGUUCUGACGGUACCCAAAGAAUAAGCACCGGCUAACUUCGUG
rnacentral:rRNA from 1 species